rnacentral:lncRNA from 1 species
AAACAAGUUGCAUGAAAAUGUAAAUGGAAGAUGAAUGGUAAAUAUACUGAAAUUUAAAUUGCAUUAAGUAAAUGACUUGAAAGUAAAAGCAUAAUGAAUAAGAGUUAGUCAAGUGUGUGUCAAAUGUUAGUGAAGAGUUUUAAUUUUCUUAAGUCAUUCUUUGGAGAACACUCAACCAUUUAUUCACAAGUAUGAAUCCUUGAACCAAG